rnacentral:lncRNA from 1 species
UAUGUAGAAAUGACCUGUUUUCAGAGUUCCAGAAGAAUUUAAUAUUUUCAGUUGAAUUUGGUAACGUAAAGAGACAAUUAGUGACACGUAGGAAUAAAAUGUGUUCUUUCACAUGGAAAUGGGAAUAUAAUAAACGUCCUGCAGGUGACUGGACACAUCACAAUUUUACUGAAGAAUAAAGUUUGACUGACCUUUGUUAGGGUGAUUAACCUUUCUGAAAUUAAAAACUCCACCUGAAUUAGUCUGUCUAAUUUAAAUACAAA